CGUGUAGGCGGCUAGGAAAGUCAGAUGUGAAAGCCCUGGGCUCAACCCAGGAAGUGCAUUUGAAACUCUCUAACUUGAGUACGGGAGAGGAGGGGGGAAUUCCCGGUGUAGAGGUGAAAUUCGUAGAUAUCGGGAGGAAUACCGGUGGCGAAGGCGCCCCUCUGGACCGAUACUGACGCUGAGACGCGAAAGCGUGGGGAGCAAACA
rnacentral:rRNA from 1 species